rnacentral:rRNA from 1 species
UACAGAGGUCUCAAGCGUUGUUCGGAUUUAUUGGGCGUAAAGCGCGCGUAGGCGGCCCGUUAAGUCGGAUGUGAAAACCCGUGGCUCAACCACGGGCCUGCAUCCGAUACUGGCGGGCUCGAGGCAGGCAGGGGAGAUCGGAAUUCCUGGUGUAGCGGUGAAAUGCGCAGAUAUCAGGAGGAACACCGGUGGCGAAGGCGGAUCUCUGGGCCUGUCCUGACGCUCAGGCGCGAAAGCUAGGGGAGCAAACAGG